CGACCGCGACCCCAGGUCAGGCGGAU
rnacentral:rRNA from 1 species